rnacentral:rRNA from 1 species
AUUGAACGCUGGCGGCAGGCCUAACACAUGCAAGUCGAACGGUAACAGGAAGCAGCUUGCUGCUUUGCUGACGAGUGGCGGACGGGUGAGGAAUGUCUGGGAAACUGCCUGAUGGAGGGGGAUAACUACUGGAAACGGUAGCUAGUACCGCAUAACGUCGCAAGACCAAAGAGGGGGACCUUCGGGCCUCUUGCCAUCGGAUGUGCCCAGAUGGGAUUAGCUAGUAGGUGGGGUAACGGCUCACCUAGGCGACGAUCCCUAGCUGGUCUGAGAGGAUGACCAGCCACACUGGAACUGAGACACGGUCCAGACUCCUACGGGAGGCAGCAGUGGGGAAUAUUGCACAAUGGGCGCAAGCCUGAUGCAGCCAUGCCGCGUGUAUGAAGAAGGCCUUCGGGUUGUAAAGUACUUUCAGCGGGGAGGAAGGGAGUAAAGUUAAUACCUUUGCUCAUUGACGUUACCCGCAGAAGAAGCACCGGCUAACUCCGUG